UACGUAGGGAGCAAGCGUUGUCCGGAAUCAUUGGGCGUAAAGCGCGCGUAGGUGGCCUCAUAAGUCCGCUGUGAAAGUCAAAGGCUCAACCUUUGAAAGCCGGUGGAUACUGUGAGGCUAGAGUACGGAAGAGGCGAGUGGAAUUCCUGCUGUAGCGGUGGAAUGCGCAGAUAUCAGGAGGAACACCAAUAGCGAAGGCAGCUCGCUGGGACGUUACUGACACUGAGGCGCGAAAGCGUGGGGAGCGAACAGG
rnacentral:rRNA from 1 species